UGCUGUGGAAAGACUUCACGUCUUGCCGAA
rnacentral:piRNA from 1 species